GACGAACCACACAAACGUUAUUCGGAAUUACUGGGCUUAAAGGGUGCGUAGGCGGCGCAGAAAGUAGGGUGUGAAAUCCCUCGGCUCAACCGAGGAACUGCGCCCUAAACUACUGUGCUCGAGGGAGGUAGAGGUGAGCGGAACUUAGGGUGGAGCGGUGAAAUGCGUUGAUAUCCUAAGGAACACCGGUGGCGAAAGCGGCUUACUGGGUCUUAUCUGACGCUGAGGCACGAAAGCUAGGGUAGCGAACGGG
rnacentral:rRNA from 1 species